rnacentral:rRNA from 1 species
CGGCGGACGGGUGAGUAACGCGUGGGCAACCUGCCUUACACAGGGGGAUAACAGUUAGAAAUGACUGCUAAUACCGCAUAAGACCGCAGUACCGCAUGGUACAGCGGUAAAAACUCCGGUGGUGUAAGAUGGGCCCGCGUCUGAUUAGGUAGUUGGCGGGGUAACGCCCACCAAGCCGACGAUCAGUAGCCGACCUGAGAGGGUGACCGGCCACAUUGGGACUGAGACACGGCCCAGACUCCUACGGGAGGCAGCAG